UGCUGUGCUAACCAACAAGCGUACGACCUAAAUAAUGACCCAGGAAGUGAGAUACAGCCAUCCAAAUGAUAGCAGAGCUUUUCAGCAUGCAGUUCUGCCCAAGGCGGAUGAAAAGUGUUUCAUCAGCUUCAAAGCGAGGUACUCCUGCCAACCUAUUCAGGUUUCAGCACAAAUCUCCAGCUAUCUCACUGCCAUCUCAACAUGGUGCCAAGAAGCUGCCCAGGGAUGCCAUCUGACCCCACCCUUUCCAGUCCAACUACCAUAAAACCCCAGUCAUCCUAGAAGAAGGCAUCAUUACUGGGUAGAGAAAUGAAGCUCUUUUUGAAGCCACUACAAUCUGCUACUUGUUUUCUGAAUUUCCUCAUAUGUAACACAUGGCAAACAGCUUUAUUUCAUUUAUUUUGUUUUC